rnacentral:rRNA from 1 species
GAACGCUGGCGGCGUGCCUAAUACAUGCAAGUCGAGCGAGCUUGCCUAGAUGAUUUUAGUGCUUGCACUAAAUGAAACUAGAUACAAGCGAGCGGCGGACGGGUGAGUAACACGUGGGUAACCUGCCCAAGAGACUGGGAUAACACCUGGAAACAGAUGCUAAUACCGGAUAACAACACUAGACGCAUGUCUAGAGUUUGAAAGAUGGUUCUGCUAUCACUCUUGGAUGGACCUGCGGUGCAUUAGCUAGUUGGUAAGGUAACGGCUUACCAAGGCAAUGAUGCAUAGCCGAGUUGAGAGACUGAUCGGCCACAUUGGGACUGAGACACGGCCCAAACUCCUACGGGAGGCAGCAGUAGGGAAUCUUCCACAAUGGACGAAAGUCUGAUGGAGCAACGCCGCGUGAGUGAAGAAGGGUUUCGGCUCGUAAAGCUCUGUUGGUAGUGAAGAAAGAUAGAGGUAGUAACUGGCCUUUAUUUGACGGUAAUUACUUAGAAAGUCACGGCUAACUACGUGCCAGCAGCCGCGGUAAUACGUAGGUGGCAAGCGUUGUCCGGAUUUAUUGGGCGUAAAGCGAGUGCAGGCGGUUCAAUAAGUCUGAUGUGAAAGCCUUCGGCUCAACCGGAGAAUUGCAUCAGAAACUGUUGAACUUGAGUGCAGAAGAGGAGAGUGGAACUCCAUGUGUAGCGGUGGAAUGCGUAGAUAUAUGGAAGAACACCAGUGGCGAAGGCGGCUCUCUGGUCUGCAACUGACGCUGAGGCUCGAAAGCAUGGGUAGCGAACAGGAUUAGAUACCCUGGUAGUCCAUGCCGUAAACGAUGAG